UGGCGCGGAAUGGUUGUAGGGAAGAAAAACGAUAUGGCACUAGACGUAUGGGACGACCACAAGAACACUCAAAACUAAGGAUAGAUGUGAACCUAAUGGUAUACCUGAAGCUUUGAUUACCACUUAAUGAGAACAAGGGUGACCCGAUCUUUCGAAACGUUCUGGUAACUCUUGAUUUGGUGGAGACGAGACACAAAUCGAUCUGGCUUCCGAACAACACGAUCCAAAAUCCUGCAAUUUUUUUUUUUGAUAUUUUUCUUUUCUUAGGAGCAAUAAAGAAGUAACCACAGAAAACUUGAGCUUAAACAAGUGAAAGACGUGGAGUGCAGAAAUUUCUGAAGAUUGCGAAAAAUGUGAAAAAAAAUCACGAGGUGGAAACUCAAACUUUGGAGGCGAAUUUGUAGAUUCUAAAAUUUUCAAACCCACCAAUGGCAGAGACAGACAGAUCCAAAAAAUUUUUCUGACAGAUGUUGAUAUAUGGAACAUUGAAAUCGGUGUUCGUAUGCGAAAGUUAUGGUUGUUUUACGAACUGACUCCGAAUUAGAGGACAAAACGGUCCGAAAGUGGGAAAAAUUUUUGACGGUGGCUAGAAAUUGAUGGAAACGGUGGGGAAAAAUACACGAACUGGACUCUAACAAGACCUAACCAACAACAAGACCUCGACUAGGACACAAACUCAACACUGCGGACUCUGAAACUGAAAUAUGCAAAGGCUAUGACGCGGAAGGGUUGUAGGACAAGAAAACGAUAUGGCACUGGACUUAUGGGACGAACACAAGAGCACUCGGAACUAAAGUGUAGAUGUGAACUUAACGGUAUACCUGAAGCUUUGAUUACCACUUGAUGAGAACAAGGGUGGCCCGAUCUUCCGAAAGCUUAUGGUAACUCUCGAUUUGGCGGAGACGAGACACAAAUCGAUUCGGCUUCCAAACAACACAAUCCAAAAUCCUACUAUUUUUUAUUUUUUUAUAUUUUUCUUUUACUUAGGAGCAAUAAAGAAGUAACCACAGAAAAUUUAAGCUUAAACAAGUGAAAGACGUGGCUUGCGGAAAUUUCUGAAGAUUGUGAAAAAUGUGAAAAAAAUUCACGAGGUGAAAACUCAAACUUUAGAGGUGAAUUUGGAGAUUCUAAAAUUUUCAAACCCACCAAUGGUAGAGACAGACAGAUCCAAAUUUUUUCUGAUCGAUUUUUAUAUAUGGAACAUUGAAAUCGGAGUUCGUAUGUGAAAGUUAUGCUUGUUUUACGAACGGACUCCGAAUUAGAGGACAAAACGGUCCGAAAGUGGGAAAAAUUUUCGGCGGUGGCUAGAAAUUGAUGGAAACGGUGGGGAAAAAAUACACGAACUAGACUCUAAUAAAACCUAACCAACAACAAGACCUCGACUAGGACACAAACUCGACACUGCGGACUAUGAAACUAAAAUAUGCAAAGGCUCUGGCACGGAAGGUUGUAGGACAGGAAAACGAUAUGGCACUAGACUUAUUGGACGAACACAAGAACACUCGAAACUAAGGGUAGCUGUGAACCUAAUGAUAUACCUAAAGCUGAUUACCACUGGAUGAGAACAAACGGUGGCCCGAUCUUCCCAAAGGUUCUGGUAACUCUCGAUUUGGCGGAUACGAGAUACAAAUCGAUCUGGGUUCCAAACAACACGAUCCGAAAUCCUGCAAUUUUUCUAAAUUUUUUUUAUAUAUUUCUUUUACUUAGAAGCACUAAAGAAGUAACCACAGAAAAUUUGAGCUUAAACAAGUGAAAGACGUGGCCUGCAGAAUUUUUGGAAGAUUGUGAAAAAUGUGAAAUAAACUUCACGAGGUGAAAACUGAAACUUCAGAGGCGAAUUUGGAGAUUCUAAAAUUUUCAAACCCACCAAUGGCAGAGACAGACAGAUCCAAACUUUUUUUCUGACCAAUUUUGAUAUAUGGAACAAUGAAAUCGGUGUUCGUAUGUGAAAGUUAUGGUUAUUUUAAGAACGGACUGGCAAAACGGUCCGAAAGUGGGAAAAAAUUGCGGCGGUGGCUAGAAAUUGAUGGAAACGGUGGGGAAAAAUACACAAACUGGACUCUAACAAGACCUAACCAGCAACAAGCCCCCAACCAUGACACAAACUCGACACUGCGGACUCUGAAACUGAAGUAUGCAGAGGCUAUGGCGCGGAAUGGUUGUAGGGAAGAAAAACGAUAUGGCACUAGACGUAUGGGACGACCACAAGAACACUCAAAACUAAGGAUAGAUGUGAACCUAAUGGUAUACCUGAAGCUUUGAUUACCACUUAAUGAGAACAAGGGUGACCCGAUCUUUCGAAACGUUCUGGUAACUCUUGAUUUGGUGGAGACGAGACACAAAUCGAUCUGGCUUCCGAACAACACGAUCCAAAAUCCUGCAAUUUUUUUUUUGAUAUUUUUCUUUUCUUAGGAGCAAUAAAGAAGUAACCACAGAAAACUUGAGCUUAAACAAGUGAAAGACGUGGAGUGCAGAAAUUUCUGAAGAUUGCGAAAAAUGUGAAAAAAAAUCACGAGGUGGAAACUCAAACUCUGGAGGCGAAUUUGUAGAUUCUAAAAUUUUCAAACCCACCAAUGGCAGAGACAGACAGAUCCAAAAAAUUUUUCUGACAGAUGUUGAUAUAUGGAACAUUGAAAUCGGUGUUCGUAUGCGAAAGUUAUGGUUGUUUUACGAACUGACUCCGAAUUAGAGGACAAAACGGUCCGAAAGUGGGAAAAAUUUUUGACGGUGGCUAGAAAUUGAUGGAAACGGUGGGGGAAAAUACACGAACUGGACUCUAACAAGACCUAAUCAACAACAAGACCUCAACUAGGACACAAACUCAACACUGCGGACUCUGAAACUGAAAUAUGCAAAGGCUAUGACGCGGAAGGGUUGUAGGACAAGAAAACGAUAUGGCACUGGACUUAUGGGACGAACACAAGAGCACUCGGAACUAAAGGGUAGAUGUGAACUUAACGGUAUACCUGAAGCUUUGAUUACCACUUGAUGAGAACAAGGGUGGCCCGAUCUUCCGAAAGCUUAUGGUAACUCUCGAUUUGGCGGAGACGAGACACAAAUCGAUUCGGCUUCCAAACAACACAAUCCAAAAUCCUACUAUUUUUUAUUUUUUUAUAUUUUUCUUUUACUUAGGAGCAAUAAAGAAGUAACCACAGAAAAUUUAAGCUUAAACAAGUGAAAGACGUGGCUUGCGGAAAUUUCUGAAGAUUGUGAAAAAUGUGAAAAAAAUUCACGAGGUGAAAACUCAAACUUUAGAGGUGAAUUUGGAGAUUCUAAAAUUUUCAAACCCACCAAUGGUAGAGACAGACAGAUCCAAAUUUUUUCUGAUCGAUUUUUAUAUAUGGAACAUUGAAAUCGGAGUUCGUAUGUGAAAGUUAUGCUUGUUUUACGAACGGACUCCGAAUUAGAGGACAAAACGGUCCGAAAGUGGGAAAAAUUUUCGGCGGUGGCUAGAAAUUGAUGGAAACGGUGGGGAAAAAAUACACGAACUAGACUCUAAUAAAACCUAACCAACAACAAGACCUCGACUAGGACACAAACUCGACACUGCGGACUAUGAAACUAAAAUAUGCAAAGGCUCUGGCACGGAAGGUUGUAGGACAGGAAAACGAUAUGGCACUAGACUUAUUGGACGAACACAAGAACACUCGAAACUAAGGGUAGAUGUGAACCUAAUGAUAUACCUAAAGCUGAUUACCACUGGAUGAGAACAAACGGUGGCCCGAUCUUCCCAAAGGUUCUGGUAACUCUCGAUUUGGCGGAUACGAGAUACAAAUCGAUCUGGGUUCCAAACAACACGAUCCGAAAUCCUGCAAUUUUUCUAAAUUUUUUUUAUAUAUUUCUUUUACUUAGAAGCACUAAAGAAGUAACCACAGAAAAUUUGAGCUUAAACAAGUGAAAGACGUGGCCUGCAGAAUUUUUGGAAGAUUGUGAAAAAUGUGAAAUAAACUUCACGAGGUGAAAACUGAAACUUCAGAGGCGAAUUUGGAGAUUCUAAAAUUUUCAAACCCACCAAUGGCAGAGACAGACAGAUCCAAACUUUUUUUCUGACCAAUUUUGAUAUAUGGAACAAUGAAAUCGGUGUUCGUAUGUGAAAGUUAUGGUUAUUUUAAGAACGGACUCCGAAUUAGAUGGCAAAACGGUCCGAAAGUGGGAAAAAAUUGCGGCGGUGGCUAGAAAUUGAUGGAAACGGUGGGGAAAAAUACACAAACUGGACUCUAACAAGACCUAACCAGCAACAAGCCCCCAACCAUGACACAAACUCGACACUGCGGACUCUGAAACUGAAGUAUGCAGAGGCUAUGGCGCGGAAUGGUUGUAGGGAAGAAAAACGAUAUGGCACUAGACGUAUGGGACGACCACAAGAACACUCAAAACUAAGGAUAGAUGUGAACCUAAUGGUAUACCUGAAGCUUUGAUUACCACUUAAUGAGAACAAGGGUGGCCCGAUCUUCCGAAACGUUCUGGUAACUCUUGAUUUGGUGGAGACGAGACACAAAUCGAUCUGGCUUCCGAACAACACGAUCCAAAAUCCUGCAUUUUUUUUUUUGAUAUUUUUCUUUUCUUAGGAGCAAUAAAGAAGUAACCACAGAAAACUUGAGCUUAAACAAGUGAAAGACGUGGAGUGCAGAAAUUUCUAA
rnacentral:lncRNA from 1 species